rnacentral:lncRNA from 1 species
AAAAUUGCGCAUUUUACGAGGGAACUAUUGAACUAAAUUGCAAAAAUGUAUUUUUUAGGCUUGUGUCUUUAUAUUUCAUAAAAACUGUGUUCCUGUUAGUUCCUGAACAUGGGAAUAGCAUCUUUUUGAGCUUCUGAAAUACACCUUUUCUUUGAUAUGCUUCAGUAAGGUGUCGAACUGCGUCGAAUUUGGAAAACUGUGAUAUUAUUUGUAUGGUUAAACCAGUGACCAUAUUAUGUUUAUACCAUUAUGACAUGUAUAUGGUUAAACCACUAUGGUAUUGCAUGUAUUGUUAAACUUCUACGACCACUAAUGUAUGGUUUUACCACUAGCUGUG